rnacentral:rRNA from 1 species
GAUGAACGCUGGCGGCGUGCCUAAUACAUGCAAGUCGAGCGAACGGACGAGAAGCUUGCUUCUCUGAUGUUAGCGGCGGACGGGUGAGUAACACGUGGAUAACCUACCUAUAAGACUGGGAUAACUUCGGGAAACCGGAGCUAAUACCGGAUAAUAUUUUGAACCGCAUGGUUCAAAAGUGAAAGACGGUCUUGCUGUCACUUAUAGAUGGAUCCGCGCUGCAUUAGCUAGUUGGUAAGGUAACGGCUUACCAAGGCAACGAUGCAUAGCCGACCUGAGAGGGUGAUCGGCCACACUGGAACUGAGACACGGUCCAGACUCCUACGGGAGGCAGCAGUAGGGAAUCUUCCGCAAUGGGCGAAAGCCUGACGGAGCAACGCCGCGUGAGUGAUGAAGGUCUUCGGAUCGUAAAACUCUGUUAUUAGGGAAGAACAUAUGUGUAAGUAACUGUGCACAUCUUGACGGUACCUAAUCAGAAAGCCACGGCUAACUACGUGCCAGCAGCCGCGGUAAUACGUAGGUGGCAAGCGUUAUCCGGAAUUAUUGGGCGUAAAGCGCGCGUAGCGGUUUUUUAAGUCUGAUGUGAAAGCCCACGGCUCAACCGGGGAGGGUCAUUGGAAACUGGAAAACUUGAGUGCAGAAGAGGAAAGUGGAAUUCCAUGUGUAGCGGUGAAAUGCGCAGAGAUAUGGAGGAACACCAGUGGCGAAGGCGACUUUCUGGUCUGUAACUGACGCUGAUGUGCGAAAGCGUGGGGAUCAAACAGGAUUAGAUACCCUGGUAGUCCACGCCGUAAACGAUGAGUGCUAAGUGUUAGGGGGUUUCCGCCCCUUAGUGCUGCAGCUAACGCAUUAAGCACUCCGCCUGGGGAGUACGACCGCAAGGUUGAAACUCAAAGGAAUUGACGGGGACCCGCACAAGCGGUGGAGCAUGUGGUUUAAUUCGAAGCAACGCGAAGAACCUUACCAAAUCUUGACAUCCUUUGACAACUCUAGAGAUAGAGCCUUCCCCUUCGGGGGACAAAGUGACAGGUGGUGCAUGGUUGUCGUCAGCUCGUGUCGUGAGAUGUUGGGUUAAGUCCCGCAACGAGCGCAACCCUUAAGCUUAGUUGCCAUCAUUAAGUUGGGCACUCUAAGUUGACUGCCGGUGACAAACCGGAGGAAGGUGGGGAUGACGUCAAAUCAUCAUGCCCCUUAUGAUUUGGGCUACACACGUGCUACAAUGGACAAUACAAAGGGCAGCGAAACCGCGAGGUCAAGCAAAUCCCAUAAAGUUGUUCUCAGUUCGGAUUGUAGUCUGCAACUCGACUACAUGAAGCUGGAAUCGCUAGUAAUCGUAGAUCAGCAUGCUACGGUGAAUACGUUCCCGGGUCU